rnacentral:lncRNA from 1 species
CCGGGCUCUGAGACCGGAGCUUCUCCGAGGCCUUGGUGGCGGGGGCGGAGGGGAGGGUGCUGGGGACCCUGGGCGCCUCUGGAACAACACCAGAUGUCACUUUUCCACCCACCUGCCUCUGGGAGGGAGGAGCCGAGAAGCAGAGGACAGAAGCUCCCGGGCGGGGGUUAGGAGGAACCGAGAGGACUCAGGCUCCCAGCCUUGGGGCUGAUGGAGAAGAGGCAAUUGUCCUGCACGCGCAUCUGGUGGAGCUCAGUGGAAUUCAACUCUGCUUGCUCUGCCCAGAGCUCCACGUCAAUCCGCUGGUCACUUGGAAGGAGGAAGGCCCUGGGAGAGGGGUGCAAAGCCAUACAAAGAAACUGGUCAGGCAGAACAGAGAGGCAGGGGCUCUGAGACCCUGAUGGGCAGGUGGAGGCUUCUUCCAUGACUCCCGCACUUCAUGCACCCAUUUGGCAAACUGUCCCAUGUGUGCCUGAGCAAAUGUGGCUGUUGUGGAUUCUCGUUUCAUAAUGGCCCCAAAACCCAGGAACAGACUCUGGGCCACGGCGACUCAAGAAGUGAAGAGUGGGGCUCCCACUGUGGAUGCCAGGAGUCAAGGUGUUGCUUGAAUAUGGGGGCCACUUUGAGCUGGCCAUGAACCCUUCUGUGACAAAGCUCUUGGGAAAGGGCCAUUUGGGACACCUAGGAAGGCUGGCAGCACCAACCAGCAGCCCCAGGGAGUGGGGUGUCCAGGCCAACUUGGGCACAGGGUGGAGAACAGAUGCCCCAGCAGGGCUGGCACUCUUGAAACAGAAGCAAGGCUGUGCACAGAGUUAAUGCCCCUGACAUGCCUAGGACUGCGGUAAAGUAGAUAAUGCACCUUAAGUAGCCGACAAAACUAGUGACAAAGGGUCCUGAGGUCACAAUCUGAAAGGAGAACCCAUUUCACUCUCGGAGAUGGCACAGAACUGGUUCCAGCUGCAAACCGGGUGGAGGAUACGAUAGGGAGCAUCCAGAAAAGGAAAAGAAAGUGCCCAACACACACCUGAGAGAAAGCGCACAACGCACACCUGAGAGAAAGCACGCAACGCGCACCUGAGAGAAAGCACGCAACACACACCUGAGAGAAAGCACGCAACACACACCUGAAAGUGCGCAACACACACCCGAAGAGAAUGCGCGCAACAAACACCUGAGAGGAAGUGUGCAACGCAUACCUGAGAGCACGCAACACACACCUGAGGAGAAUGCAUGCAACACACACCUGAGAGGAAGCACGCAACACACACCUGAGGAGAAUGCAUGCAACACACACCUGAGAGAAAGCGCACAAAAGCAACCUGAGAGAAAAUGCACAACACACACCCGAGGAGAAUGCGCACAACACACACCUGAGAGGAAGCGUGCAACACACACCUGAGGAGAAUGCACGCAACACACACCUGAGGAGAAUGCGUGCAACACACACCUGAGGAGAACGCGUGCAACACACACCUGAGAGAAAGCACACAACACACACCUGAGGAGAAUGCACACAACACACACUUGAGAGGAAGUGCACAACACACACCUGAGGAGAAUGUGCGCAACACACACCUAAGGAGAACGCGUGCAACACACACCUGAGGAGAAUGCACGCAGCACACACCUGACGGGAAGUGUGCAACACGCACCUGAAAGAAGGCACGCAACACACACCUGAGAGAAAGCACACAACGCACACCUGAGAGAAAGCGUGCAACACGGGCCUGGAAGCCUCAGUAGGAGUCAGGGAGGCCUAAGUCCAAACCCUCAGAAGGAACCAGUCUUAACUUUUUUCACAUCUGAAGCAUGAAGAAUAGUAAUAUUCAACACUGGUAAGUUCAGAAAGAACAGACUCAAACAUAGGUGGGUGGAGAGGGAACUGCUCAACCUCUUGGACGGAAGUUUGGCAGCUUAUGCCCUUUGACCCAGAAGUGUCUGUUUGGGAAACCAAUUCAUAGGAAUAAAAGCACAUAUGUGUGCAUGCUUAUGUGCACGCAACGCACACCUUUGUGUGGAUGUCUAUCACCACUUUCUUUGUAGUGGUCAUGAAAAAAAAGCAGCUGGGAACAAUUGGAGUUUCCAAUAGAGGAGUGAUUUAACGAUUUAAAGUCCAUCCAUAUUGUGGCAUAUUAUACAGCUAUUUAAAAGAAUGCGUUAGAUAUAUGUAUUGAUCUAAAGGAGAUGUUAUUGAUAUAAUGCUGAGUGAAAGCAUCAUUAUUCCUGAAAGUAACAGAUAUAGUAUUGGGCCAUUACUGUAAAAAAAAAGGAAAGAGAACCGCUCUGUAAAUA